UGCGUAGGCGGGAUAAUAAGUCAGUGGUGAAAGCCUGCAGCUUAACUGUAGAAUUGCCAUUGAUACUGUUGUUCUUGAGUAUAGUUGAGGUGGGCGGAAUGUGUCAUGUAGCGGUGAAAUGCUUAGAUAUGACACAGAACACCGAUUGCGUAGGCAGCUCACUAAACUAUCACUGACGCUGAGGCACGAAAGCGUGGGGAGCGAACAGGAUUAGAUACCCUGGUAGUCC
rnacentral:rRNA from 1 species